CCCGACUGCUAUUUGGGUGAGAAUAAGCCAUGCGAGUUGAAUGGGAUACCUAAAUUUCCCAUAGCAAACUGCUCAGUAACACAUGAUCAACUUACCCUAUAGAGAAAAAUAACCUCGGGAAACUGAGGAUAAUGUUUCAUAAUUGAAUUGGCUUGGAAAAGUUUUUCAAUGAAAAGGAUAAAAAAAAUGGUUUUUAUCUGCUAUAGGAUAGGAUCGUGUUCGAUUAUGGUUGUUGGUGAGAUAAUGGCUCACCAAGCCGAUAAUCGAUAGGGGCCGUGAGAGCGGGAGCCCCGAGAUGGGUACUGAGACAACGACCCAGGCCUUACGAGGCGCAGCUGGCGCGGAACCUCCGCAAUACACGAAAGUGUGACGGGGUUACCCAAAGUGUUCAAUAGAACUGUGGUAGGUGAGUAAUGUCCCCUACUAGAAAGGAGAGGGCAAGGCUGGUGCCAGCCGCCGCGGUAAAACCAGCUCUACAAGUGGUCGGGAUAAUAUUGGGCUUAAAGUGUCCGUAGCCGGUUAGUAAGUUCCUGGUAAAAUCGGGUAGCUUAACUAUCUGCAUGCUAGGAAUACUGCUAUACUAGAGGACGGGAGAGGUCUGAGGUACUACAGGGUAGGGGUGAAAUCUUAUAAUCCUUGUAGGACCACCAGUGGCGAAGGCGUCAGACUGGAACGCGCCUGACGGUGAGGGACGAAAGCCAGGGGAGCGAACCGGAUUAGAUACCCGGGUAGUCCUGGCCGUAAACGAUGCAUACUAGGUGAUGGUACGGCCAUGAGCCGUAUCAGUGCCGUAGGGAAACCGUUAAGUGUGCCGCCUGGGAAGUACGGUCGCAAGGCUAAAACUUAAAGGAAUUGGCGGGGGAGCACCACAAGGGGUGAAGCCUGCGGUUCA
rnacentral:rRNA from 1 species